UACGUAGGGUGCAAGCGUUAAUCGGAAUUACUGGGCGUAAAGCGCGCGCAGGCGGCUAUCCAAGUCAGUGGUGAAAGCCCGGAGCUCAACUCCGGAACUGCCAUUGAAACUGUUUAGCUUGAGUAUGAGAGAGGUGAGUGGAAUUCCCAGUGUAGAGGUGAAAUUCGUAGAUAUUGGGAAGAACACCGGUGGCGAAGGCGGCUCACUGGCUCAUUACUGACGCUCAGGCGCGACAGCGUGGGGAUCAAACAGG
rnacentral:rRNA from 1 species